rnacentral:SRP_RNA from 1 species
GGGUAAGUCCUAUACGACCAGCUCCUGCCAACCUCCCCAGGCCGGGAACGGAGCAAGGAUACGCGGUUGAGCGGUGCGAUAUAGAAAGCUUACCCGUA